rnacentral:rRNA from 1 species
UACGAAGGGGGCUAGCGUUGCUCGGAAUCACUGGGCGUAAAGGGUGCGUAGGCGGGUCUUUAAGUCAGGGGUGAAAUCCUGGAGCUCAACUCCAGAACUGCCUUUGAUACUGAGGAUCUUGAGUUCGGGAGAGGUGAGUGGAACUGCGAGUGUAGAGGUGAAAUUCGUAGAUAUCAAAGCGGACACCGGUGGCGAAAGCGGCCCCCUGGACC